rnacentral:tRNA from 1 species
UGGCAGGUUACCCAAGCGGCCAAAGGGAUCUGAUUGUAACUCAGCCGGCUCAGCCUUCGGGGGUUCGAAUCCCUCACCUGCCACCC